ACUCAAAUGAAUUGACGGGGGCCCGCACAAGCGGUGGAGCAUGUGGUUUAAUUCGAUGCAACGCGAAGAACCUUACCUACCCUUGACAUGCCAGGAAAUUUGCAGAGAUGCGAAGGUGCCGAAAGGAACCUGGACACAGGUGCUGCAUGGCUGUCGUCAGCUCGUGUUGUGAGAUGUUGGGUUAAGUCCCGUAACGAGCGCAACCCUUAUCCUUAGUUGCCAACACGUAAAGGUGGGGACUCUAAGGAGACUGCUGGUGAUGAACCGGAGGAAGGCGAGGACGACGUCAAGUCAUCAUGGCCUUUAUGGGUAGGGCUACACACGUGCUACAAUGGGCAGUACAGAGGGAAGCCAACCCGCGAGGGGGAGCCAAUCUCACAAAGCUGUUCGUAGUCCGGAUUGGAGUCUGCAACUCGACUCCAUGAAGUCGGAAUCGCUAGUAAUCGCGAAUCAGAAUGUCGCGGUGAAUACGUUCCCGGGCCUUGUACACACCGCCCGU
rnacentral:rRNA from 1 species